rnacentral:rRNA from 1 species
GACGAACGCUGGCGGCGUGCUUAACACAUGCAAGUCGAACGGUGAAGGGAUCAGCUUGCUGGUUCUGGAUGAGUGGCGAACGGGUGAGUAACACGUGAGUAACCUGCCCCCUUCUUCUGGAUAACCGCAUGAAAGUGUGGCUAAUACGGGAUAUUCUGCGCCUGCUGCAUGGUGGGUGUGGGAAAGAUAUUGUUUCGGUGGGGGAUGGGCUCGCGGCCUAUCAGCUUGUUGGUGGGGUGAUGGCCUACCAAGGCGGUGACGGGUAGCCGGCCGGAGAGGGUGGACGGUCACACUGGGACUGAGACACGGCCCAGACUCCUACGGGAGGCAGCAGUGGGGAAUAUUGCACAAUGGGCGCAAGCCUGAUGCAGCGACGCCGCGUGAGGGAUGGAGGCCUUCGGGUUGUGAACCUCUUUCGCCAGUGAAGCAGGCCUGUCCCGUGUGGGUGGGUUGACGGUAGCUGGAUAAGAAGCGCCGGCUAACUACGUG